GAUGAAGAACGUAGCGAAAUGCGAUAAGUAGUGUGAAUUGCAGAAUUCAGUGAAUCAUCGAAUCUUUGAACGCACAUUGCGCCUCCUGGUAUUCCGGGAGGCAUGCCUGUUCGAGCGUCAUUAAAAUCACUCAAGCUUAGGUUUACCUAUUGCUUGGUCUUGGAGAUGGAAGCCAAUUUAUUGGAAUCCUCUUCGAAAUUCAAUGGCGAAGACCCUUGCUCUCCCAAGUGUAGUAAUAACUUAUGUCACUGAAGGAAGCGAGAAAUCUUCUGCCGUAACCCCCAUAUUUUCUAUGAUUGACCUCGGAUCAGGUAGCGAUACCCGCUGAACUUAAGCAUAUCAAUAAGCGGAGGA
rnacentral:misc_RNA from 1 species